rnacentral:rRNA from 1 species
AUUGAACGCUGGCGGCAUGCCUUACACAUGCAAGUCGAACGGUAACAGGUUAAGCUGACGAGUGGCGAACGGGUGAGUAAUAUUUCGGAACGUGCCCAGUCGUGGGGGAUAACGUAGCGAAAGCUACGCUAAUACCGCAUACGAUCUACGGAUGAAAACGGGGGAUCGCAAGACCUCGCGCGAUUGGAGCGGCCGAUAUCAGAUUAGGUUGUUGGUGAGGUAAAAGCUCACCAAGCCUGCGAUCUGUAGCUGGUCUGAGAGGACGACCAGCCACACUGGAACUGAGACACGGUCCAGACUCCUACGGGAGGCAGCAGUGGGGAAUUUUGGACAAUGGACGCAAGUCUGAUCCAGCAAUGCCGCGUGCAGGACGAAGGCCUUCGGGUUGUAAACUGCUUUUGUACGGAACGAAACGGUGAGCUCUAAUACAGUUUGCUAAUGACGGUACCGUAAGAAUAAGCACCGGCUAACUACGUGCCAGCAGCCGCCGUAA